GGGUCCGGACACACUGAGGAUUGACAGGCAAUAUUAAUACGUGUUUCGGCGCGUAUUAUGUUAAAUAUGCUAGUCCUUUCAUGAUUAUGUGAUAGGUGGUGCAUGGCCGUUCUUAGUUCGUGGAGUGAUCUGUCUGCUUAAUUGCGUUUCACUAAGAAUCUAUCAAUACGUGCGUUGCGGCACUUUGACCCCUCUCUGAGCGCGCGUCUUAGUUGCUUAGCUCGCACAAUUAGGUUCUGAAAGCAACGAACGUGACCGCAACCUCUUGUUGCCUUUAUACCAAACAUUUUUGCUGUUCUCAGCAUUAAUGCAAAAAGGCUUUUUAAACUAGAGGGACCGCUGUUACUUUCUUAAACCAGAGGAAGGUUGCGGCAAUAACAGGUCUGUGAUGCCCUUAGAUGUUCCGGGCUGCACACGUGCUACAAUGAUUGUUGCAGUGAGCAUCUCAUUUUUACACACCGCAUGCGCGAGUCCGUUUAUUCGCUUCGGUGUUUUAAACGUGUAUUUCUGCGCGCGGUAAAGCCUGCUUCGAGAGUAAGUGGGU
rnacentral:rRNA from 1 species